GGGUGGGGACAUGGAAGGCCAUGCCAGUGAGCUUCCCGUUCAGCUCAGGGAUGACCUUGCCCACAGCCUUGGCAGCGCCAGUGGAAGCAGGGAUGUUGGCGGGAUCUCGCUCCUGGAAGAUGGAGAUGGACUUCCCGUUGAUGACAAGUUUCCCGUUCUCAGCCUUGACUGUGCCGUGGAAUUUGCCGUGGGCAGAAUCAUACUGGAGCAUGUACACCAUGUAGUUGAGAUCAAUGAAGGGGUCAUUGAUGGCGACAAUAUCCACUUUGCCAGAGUUAAAAGCAGCCCUGGUGACCGACCAGGCGCCCAAUACGGCCAAAUCUGUUCACUCCGACCUUCACCAUCGUGUCUCGGGGACGCGGCUGGCCCUGCACCAGAAGAUGCGGCUGUCUGUCGAACGGGGAGGAGCAGAGAGCCAGAUAACUUAUUUUAA
rnacentral:lncRNA from 1 species